GUCUAGGGCCAUGCUACCCUGAACAAGCCUGAUCCCGUCUGAUCUCGGAAGCUAAGCAGGGCUGGGCCUGGUUAGUACUUGGAUGGGAGACCACCUAGGAAGACCAGGUGCUAUAGGUG
rnacentral:rRNA from 1 species